UGUAUCAACUAUAGUGAGACAGUAGUGUAGUUGAAUAGAGUUAACUGAGGUUGUAUCAACUAUAGUGAGACAGUAGUGUAAGGUUGAAUAGAGUUAACUCAGGUUGUAUCAACUAUAGUGAGACAGUAAUGUAGUUGAAUAGAGUUAACUGAGGUUGUAUAUAGUGAGACAGUAGUGUAGGGUUGAAUAGAGUUAACAGGUUGUAUCAACUAUAGUGAGACAAUAGUGUAGGGUUGAAUAGAGUUAACUGAGGUUGUAUCAACUAUAGUGAGACAGUAGUGUAGGGUUGAAUAGAGUUAAAUGAGGUUGUAUAUAGUGAGACAGUAGUGUAGGGUUGAAUAGAGUUAACUGAGGUUGUAUAUAGUGAGACAGUAGUGUAGGGUUGAAUAGAGUUAACUGAGGUUGUAUAUAGAGAGACAGUAGUGUAGGGUUGAAUAGAGUUAACUGAGGUUGUAUAUAGAGAGACAGUAGUGUAGGGUUGAAUAGAGUUAACUGAGGUUGUAUAUAGAGAGACAGUAGUGUAGGGU